AUUAAAACUCAAAGGAAUAGACGGGGACCCGCACAAGUGGUGGAGCAUGUGGUUUAAUUCGAAGAUACGCGAAGAACCUUACCUAGCCUUGACAUUGAUAGAACGGACCAGAGAUGGACCGGUGCCCUUCGGGGAGCUUGAAAACAGGUGCUGCACGGCUGUCGUCAGCUCGUGUCGUGAGAUGUUGGGUUAAGUCCCGCAACGAGCGCAACCCUCGUCCUUAGUUGCCAGCAGGUUAAGCUGGGCACUCUAAGGAGACUGCCUUCGCAAGGAGGAGGAAGGUGAGGACGACGUCAAGUCAUCAUGGCCCUUACGGCUAGGGCUACACACGUGCUACAAUGGGGCGUACAGAGUGUUGCGAUACCGCGAGGUGGAGCCAAUCACUUAAAGCGUCUCUCAGUUCGGAUUGGAGUCUGCAACUCGACUCCAUGAAGCUGGAAUCACUAGUAAUCGUAGAUCAGCAAUGCUACGGUGAAUACGUUCCCGGGUCUUGUACUCACCGCCCGUCACACCAUGGGAGUUGAUUUCACCCGAAAUUGGGAAGCUAACCUUCGGGGGGCUACCACUUACGGUGGAAUUAGCGACUGGGGUGAAGUCGUAACAAGGUAACC
rnacentral:rRNA from 1 species